rnacentral:rRNA from 1 species
AUUGAACGCUGGCGGCAUGCCUUACACAUGCAAGUCGAACGGCAGCGGACCUUCGGGUGCCGGCGAGUGGCGAACGGGUGAGUAAUGUAUCGGAACGUACCUUUCAGUGGGGGAUAACGUAGCGAAAGUUACGCUAAUACCGCAUAUUCUGUGAGCAGGAAAGCAGGGGAUCGCAAGACCUUGCGCUGAUUGAGCGGCCGAUAUCAGAUUAGCUAGUUGGUGAGGUAAAGGCUCACCAAGGCGACGAUCUGUAGCGGGUCUGAGAGGAUGAUCCGCCACACUGGAACUGAGACACGGUCCAGACUCCUACGGGAGGCAGCAGGGGGGAAUUUUGGACAAUGGGGGCAACCCUGAUCCAGCCAUGCCGCGUGAGUGAAGAAGGCCUUCGGGUUGUAAAGCUCUUUCGUCCGGGAAGAAAUCGCAUCAGCUAAUACCUGGUGUGGAUGACGUUACCGGAAUAAGAAGCACCGGCUAACUACGUGCCAGCAGCCGCCGUAAUAC